rnacentral:tRNA from 1 species
GGGCGCUUAGCUCAGUUGGUAGAGCGUCUGCCUUACAAGCAGAAUGUCGGCGGUUCGAUCCCGUCAGCGCCUG